rnacentral:rRNA from 1 species
CAAGUCGAACGCGAAAGUUCCCUUCGGGGAGCGAGUAGAGUGGCGCACGGGUGAGUAACACGUAGGUAAUCUACCUUUGGAUGGGGAAUAACAACCGGAAACGGUUGCUAAUACCGCAUAAUGCAGCGGCACCUAAUGGUGACAGUUGUUAAAGCGGGGGAUCGUAAGACCUCGCGUCUGAAGAGGAGCCUGCGGCGGAUUAGCUAGUUGGUAAGGUAAUGGCUUACCAAGGCGAUGAUCCGUAACCGGCCUGAGAGGGCGGUCGGUCACACUGACACUGACAUACGGGUCAGACUCCUACGGGAGGCAGCAGUCGGGAAUUUUGGGCAAUGGGCGAAAGCCUGACCCAGCAACGCCGCGUAAAGGAUGAAAUCCCUCGGGAUGUAAACUUCGCAAGAACAGGAAGAAUAAGUAAGGGUUAAUAUCUCUUAUGAUGACGGUACUGUUUGUAAGCUCCGGCUAACUCCGUGCCAGCAGCCGCGGUAAUACGGGGGGAGCAAGCGUUGUUCGGAUUUACUGGGCGUAAAGGGCGCGUAGGCGGCCACCGCAAGUCGACUGUGAAAUCUCCGGGCUUAACUCGGAAAGGUCAGCCGAUACUGCGGGGCUAGAGUGCAGAAGGGGCAACUGGAAUUCUCGGUGUAGCGGUGAAAUGCGUAGAUAUCGAGAGGAACACCUGCGGCGAAGGCGGGUUGCUGGGCUGACACUGACGCUGAAGCGCGAAAGCUAGGGGAGCGAACGGGAUUAGAUACCCCGGUAGUCCUAGCCUUAAACGAUGAAUGCUUGGUGUCUGGGGUUUUAUAGUCCCCGGGUGCCGUCGCUAACGCUUUAAGCAUUCCGCCGGGGGAGUACGGUCGCAAGACUGAAACUC